GAUUUCUGACUUGGCGCACCUGGCCCGCCGCCGUUAGGCGUGUGAGUGCCGGGAUGCGCCUGUCACUUUUCUGGUCAACUAUUAUGCUCUUCAUUGGGUGUGAUAGGUAGCCAGAUAUUUUACUUUGAAAAAAUUAGAGUGUUUAAAGCAGGCGUUUGCUAUGAAUACAUUAGCAUGGAAUAAUAAGUUAGGACUUCGGUUCUAUUUUGUUGGUUUCUAGGACUGAAGUAAUGAUUGAUAGGGAUAGUUGGGGGUGCUAGUAUUCAGCGGCCAGAGGUGAAAUUCUCGGAUUCGCUGAAGACUAACUUAUGCGAAAGCAUU
rnacentral:rRNA from 1 species